rnacentral:rRNA from 1 species
GGUUUGAUUAUGGCUCAGAUUGAACGCUGGCGGGAUGCUUUACAUGCAAGUCGAACGGCAGUACGGACUUCGGUCUGGUGGCGAGUGGCGAACGGGUGGUAAUGUAUCGGAACGUGCCUGGCGGGGGAUAUACGCAGAAAGCGUAGCUAAUACCACAUACGCCCUUCGGGGAAAGCGGGGAGACCUUCGGGCCUCACACUAUUAGAGCGGCCGAUAUCGGAUUAGCUAGUUGGUGGGGUAACGGCUCACCAAGGCGACGAUCCGUAGCUGGUUUGAGAGGACGACCAGCCACACUGGGACUGGGAACACGGCCCAGACUCCUGCGGGAGGCAGCAGUGGGAAUUUUGGACAAUGGGGAAACCCUGAUCCAGCCAUCCCGCGUGCGAUGAAGGCCUUCGGGUUGUAAAAAGCACUUUUGGCAGGAAAAAACGGCACGGGAUAAUACCCCGUGCAACUGACGGUACCUGCAGAAUAAGCACCGGCUAACUACGUGCCAGCAGCCGCGGUAAUACGUAGGGUGCAAGCGUUAAUCGGAAUUACUGGGCGUAAAGCGUGCGCAGGCGGUUCCGGAAAGAAGAUGAAAUCCCGGAAGCGCUUUGGAACUGCAUUUUUAACUACCGAGCUGAAGUGUGUGUCAGAGAGUGGAAUUCCGCGUGUAGCAGUGAAAUGCGUAGAUAUGCGGAGGAACACCGAUGGCAGAAAACAGCCUCCUGGGAUAACACUGACGCUCAUGCACGAAAGCGUGGGAAGCAAACAGGAUUAGAUACCCUGGUAGUCCACGCCCUAAACGAUGUCAACUAGCUGUUGGGGCCUUCGGGCCAGCGGUAGCGCAACUAACGCGUGAAGUUGACCGCAGGAAUCCCACGGUCGCAAGAUUAAAACUCAAAGGAAUUGACGGGGACCCGCACAAGCGGUGGAUGAUGUGGAUUAAUUCGAUGCAACGCGAAAAACCUUACCUACCCUUGACAUGUCUGGAAUCCCGAAAGAGAUUUGGAGUGCUCGCAAGAGAACCGGAACACAGGUGCUGCAUGGCUGUCGUCAGCUCGUGUCGUGAGAUGUUGGGUUAAGUCCUGGCGGCGCAACCCUUGUCAUUAGUUGCUACGAAAGGGCACUCUAAUGAGACUGCCGGUGACAAACCGGAGGAAGGUGGGGAUGACGUCAAGUCCUCGCAUGGCCACUAUGGGUAGGGCUUCACACGUCAUACAAUGGUCGGGACAGAGGGUCGCCAACCCGCGAGAGGAGCCAAUCCCAGAAACCCGAUCGUGAUCCGGAUCACAGUCUGCAACUCGACUGCGUGAAGUCGGAAUCCUUCAAGUAAUCGCGGAUCAGCAUGUGCAUUGAAUACGUUCCCGGGUCUUGUACACCACCGCCCGUCCUGUAGAAUUAGGUUUUACCCGAAGUAGUUAGCCUAACCGUAAGGAGGGCGAUUACCACGGUAGGAUUCAUGACUGGGGUGAAGUCGUAACAAGGUAG